rnacentral:rRNA from 1 species
GUGGCGAACGGGUGAGUAAUACAUAAGUAACCUGCCCUAGACAGGGGGAUAACUAUUGGAAACGAUAGCUAAGACCGCAUAGGUACGGACACUGCAUGGUGACCGUAUUAAAAGUGCCUCAAAGCACUGGUAGAGGAUGGACUUAUGGCGCAUUAGCUGGUUGGCGGGGUAACGGCCCACCAAGGCGACGAUGCGUAGCCGACCUGAGAGGGUGACCGGCCACACUGGGACUGAGACACGGCCCAGACUCC